rnacentral:rRNA from 1 species
GACGAACGCUGGCGGCGCGCCUAACACAUGCAAGUCGAACGAGCGAGAGAGAGCUUGCUUUCUCGAGCGAGUGGCGAACGGGUGAGUAACGCGUGAGGAACCUGCCUCAAAGAGGGGGACAACAGUUGGAAACGACUGCUAAUACCGCAUAAGCCCACGGCUCGGCCUCGAGCAGGGGGAAAAGGAGCAAUCCGCUUUGAGAUGGCCUCGCGUCCGAUUAGCUAGUUGGUGGGGUAACGGCCCACCAAGGCGACGAUCGGUAGCCGGACUGAGAGGUUGAACGGCCACAUUGGGACUGAGACACGGCCCAGACUCCUACGGGAGGCAGCAGUGGGGAAUAUUGCACAAUGGGGGAAACCCUGAUGCAGCGACGCCGCGUGGAGGAAGAAGGUCUUCGGAUUGUAAACUCCUGUUGUUGGGGAAGAUAAUGACGGUACCCAACAAGGAAGUGACGGCUAACUACGUG